UAAAUAUCAUUAGGUUUCAGAUAAUUAUUUUAGAAGUUAAAAAGUAUGCAGGCUAACUCUAGCAGUUUUUGGUGUUUUAUUGAUUUUUCUGGGCAUAGAAUGGGGAUGAGAGGGGGUCUUAGAAAUUCUUUGAUCAUUUAUCUGUGUUGCAGUAGUUCUUUCAUAGAAUGCCACUUAGUAAUACUCUUGAAAUUUCUAUUAAUUCUAAAACAGUCUGUCCAGAAACAUUUUUAAUAUGCUAGUAUCUUACAUUCUCACUGUAAGAUGUUAUUUAUAUCUAUGUAGACAAUUAAGUGGAUUACAUAAAUUCAGGGUAGUCAGUCCUAAACAUUGUUAUACAUAAUAUAAAUAUAAGAAUACUUUUUCACUGUAGCCUAUAUAUUUUCACUUUCAUUGCAUUUUCUUUAAAGUAUACACAAAUAUUGGCUAAAUAGUGCAGUUCUUAAUCUAUGUUAAUAAAAAUAGGUAAUAACAUCUAAAAAUGACAACUCCUGUAACAUAGUGGUGGAUUGGUUCUAAACCUGUUCGUGGUUGUUGGUGCCCUUAUUGAAAAUUAGACAAAUAUAAACGAUGGU
rnacentral:lncRNA from 1 species